CCCGAGGUUAAGAGACCCAAAGGGGAAGAGAAGAGCCACGCAAAGGCAGCGGGUGGGGCUCGAGCCCCCUGCCUCGGCUGCGACGCCCAGAUUCCACCGGCCGGGCCAGAGGGAAGCUAGAGGCUUCGGGCUGGCGAUCUGCUAAAACGACAAAAUAAGCAACAACAACAACAAAGGGGCCCCACCAGGCGGCGGCCCUGGUCUUUAGCUCCCGGGCGAGACCCGGAAGCCCUGGCAGGAGCGGGGCGGAGCCGCCGGAUCCGGCCUCCAAGGACCAGCGUCAGAGUGUCCCGGCACGGCGGCUCGUUGGUCUAGGGGUAUGAUUCUCGCUUUGGGUGCGAGAGGUCCCGGGUUCAAAUCCCGGACGAGCCCGGCUUUUUUUCCCCACCCACAAAUCCUGUGCCCAGGGGACGCUGACUCUUUCAGGCACAGCACAUUCCCGAAAGCCUGCGACCUCUCGGCGUUGCCAGCUGUCCCUCGCGUGGCCUGGGCCUCACCCAGUCUGAUUCUUGGACCUAGAAGUUCUAGAUUCCUCUGGGGAAACGGAACCCAAACCUGGGCAACAGAGCGGAGGGCAAUCCCACCUCCCCGCCUCCUGGACAGGUCCCCGUCCUGUGCCAGACCACGGGGGGGGGGGGUGUCCAGGGAUGGCACUUACUCUGGGCGGGUAAUUUCCUUUGGGUACCAUAAGUCAAAUUCCGGCGGAGCCCACGGAUGUGAACGUCCUUUUCCUCUUGAGAGGCUGCCUUGCACAACCAAGGGGAGGAAACGGCGGCAGAGUCUGAGCGCGAGGCCUAGAGCCGCUGGGUUGGGGCUGCCAAGAAGAAGGGGUCACCGUGGAAGUGCAGGGCGCUCCUGCCUUUGGUCUCUGAAGAACGGCAGCAGUUGAAUAGGUUUUGCUGUAAUUCGGGAACAGUGCAACCUGCAGAGGAGACAACUGCCAUUGAGAACAUAACGGAGAAGGGGUGAGAUAACUAGUCAAGAGCCCGUACUGUGGAUUUCAUGGGACUAUAAAGAUAAGCAGGUUAAAAUUGACUAGCUUGAAUAGUUUCAGGGGGCUCCGGGGUGUGGAGUCUGUCCCUAGUUGUCUGAUACCCGACCCUGGGUGACACAGGCUGUGAGUCCUGGCCCAGAGUAGCAGAGCUCAAUAAAAGAGGUGAUCAGUGUUGUGGCCUCUGUGUGGGUGGGUUUGUAUUUGAAGUGCACAAUCUGGAAGGAGUUGUUUGCUAUCUCCAAGAAUUUGCUAGCCUGGAAGGAGAAGUCCCUCCAGGAUGAGUGAGGCCCUGAUGUCCAAGUUUCAGAAUGCAGAAAAUAGGAGAUGGCUAAUACAGGCAGGGACUAAGGGUUUUCGUGGAAACUGGGGUAUCCUAAGCUGGAAGAGUGACCCUCUUGUACUCUUGUACACCUGAGGAUUGAUUACUGCCCUAGCCAGGUGAAUUGAACACAGGCAAGAGGUCCAGGACAUAUACUGCCCACACCAGUGUCCCUUCUUUACCUCAGGGGGUUGUGUGUGUGUGUGUGUGUGUGUGUGUGCUGGUGGCCCCUUUCUGAUUCUGGUUCAAAUACCACACUAGCCCAAUUUUUAAGGUCCAGUAGUGGUAGUACCUGUAAGACAAGAAGUCAAAGUCUGGCGCUUUCAGAGGAAGCUUUGUGGUGAGGGCUGCUCUGUAACUGAAAACAAGUGGCCUGGCUCAGACAGGAAAGAGAUGCGUGGAGAGGGGACCUAACAUGGGGCUGGAAUCCACGACCUGAGAUUAGGAGUCUCUUACUCUACCCACCGAGCUAGCCCGGCUGCUCUAACUCUUCAAAAUAACGAGUCAGGUCACUACCCUGAAAAAGGAGACUGCACACGUAGUCACUAUUGGUAUCCCCCGGGGACACACUGGGCGCCAAGGAACUGCCAGGAGCCAACCUCCCGGGGGAUUUCUGACACCCGGCCACGCUGCCUCGGUCGGAGCGGGCGUGCAGACCGUGGAAACCCUACAGUCAGGGACUGCGGGAUCGUGCCGGGCAGGGAAGGGAGUGGGGCGGCGCGCCGACCUAGGGACAGACGACAAGACCCAGUCCCGCGGCGUGGACAGGAAGCGGCGCGGACCUGCGCGAGCUCAGCCCACGACGCGCUGACCCUGGCCUUAAA